UACAGAGGGGGCAAGCGUUGUUCGGAAUUACUGGGCGUAAAGGGCGCGUAGGCGGCCUGUUAAGUCGAACGUGAAAUCCCCGGGCUCAACCCGGGAACUGCGUCCGAUACUGGCAGGCUUGAAUUCGGGAGAGGGAUGCGGAAUUCCAGGUGUAGCGGUGAAAUGCGUAGAUAUUCGGAAGAACACCAGUGGCGAAGGCGACACACUGGGCCAUUACUGACGCUGAGGCGCGAAAGCGUGGGGAGCAAACAGG
rnacentral:rRNA from 1 species